rnacentral:tRNA from 1 species
GUUGUCGUGGCAGAGUGGUUAAGGCGAUGGACUUGAAAUCUUUUGGGAUCUUCCCGCACAGGCUCGAAUCCUGCCGACAUCU